UUGAAAUAUUAACUUUUUUUUUUAUUAUUGUUAUUAUUAUUAUUAUUAUUAUUAAGUCAGCUGUUGAUGCCAAGAUGCAAGUUUCAUUUAUUUAUCAUUUACACAGGUAGCUUCUGGGAGCGUUUUCUGUUUCUCAAGCCGAAAGAGGGAUUUUUGUUUUUUUUACCUUGCCUGUUGGAAGUCAGCUUCCACACCACUUGUGUCCCUUCUGAAACACUACACACUAAUAAGGGUUAAUAAUGCCAGAUAGCUGCCGUACACUGUAGCUGUUUAAUAACGACUUUAUAACCGCAGCUCGCUCCGAUCAGAUUUGCCUUACCGGAGCGCGGCAUCGUUGCAUUGUGCUCGGCCCGAACGGGAACGCGCGCUUGUUGGAGCGCCGCGCGUUACGCCGUUCGGCAAAGCGGUGGCGCGCGUUUUUGUGACAAGUUUGAUUUUGGAAACACUUUGUUUUGUACUUACGCCACACGUUUGCUCCGUUUUGUUUGGUCGGGAUUCUGUUAGGCACGACGCUCUUCUGCCGAUUACACUUUUUUUUUGUUUCCUCUUCUCGUUUUCACUUCUGGACAUCCGCCUCCUGAUGAGAUGCUGGACCGUUGCUGCUUUUUUUUUUUUUUUUUUUUUUUUUUUUUAAAGGGGAGGAAAAAGCAGAACCCUCUAAUGCUGAAACGAAAUGAUCCCGUUGUAGUCCAGAUUUCGAACAAUCAUUAUAAUAAUUAUGUUGUUGUUUUUUUUCUAUGAAGAAAUGUAUCGCAUAAUCUUUUUCUACAAAUAUGAAACUGUGACGCAGCUGUAGAAGAUCUAAAAGCCGAAGGUUACUAUCAUUAUAGCGCCAAACAAUCUCAUUUAACUAUCAUAAACAAAAAAAAAAAUCAUGGAUUUAAGUCAUUUCAUUCAAAUCUCCUGCAUUAUCUAGAUGUAUAACACAAAAAGGGUCAUAUUAUAAGUUUGUAUUGUUGUUGGUUUUGAUAGUUUUGGCUUAUAACCAAUGAAAACGCAAUCCUUAGUUUCUCUGAAAACAAAUUAUUACAUAAGAAUUAUAUUCAGGAUUUCUCCAUUAGGAACCGCGUUCUUAAUGCAGAAAUGUCAGCCGACCAAAAAGUGUGGCCAUGUACAGGACAAUAAGCACUGAGAGGGUCAGUUUGGGGUUUUCAUGAGCUGUAAGCCGUAACCGUCAAAUCCAACACAAAGGUGCUUAUAGUCAAUCAGUCUGUGUUUAAUCUAUGUGAGGAGUUUUUUUUUUUUUAAUUGAAUUAAUCAAACACAUUAACUUUUCAAUGCCCCUCUGGUUUAUUAGGUUGCAGCUGUAUGUUCUGAGAGGGUAGUACUAAACAGACUUAUUUUUUUCUUUCUUCCAAGGUCAGUUUUGCAGAUUAUUUAUUUUUUGGCUUUUUUUUUUUGUCCCCCGUCUGCCGUUGCUCUGCAGCCAGGCUAUGAAAAGGAAAAAAGCGUAUUUUUAAUUUUUCAAAAUUCUUAUAGUCAAUGUUGUAUUUUGUGUACAUUGGUUAGGCACGGCUGCGUUUAAUUCCAGAUCCGGGUUUGGAUCAGGACAGACAGCAGAGGUUCGAGCUCAGAUGGCGGUGGCGCUGCAAGCCGGCUCGGUUUCAGGCUGUGCAGAGGCGCACAUUCUCAACGUUUGAAAUUCUUCGGUCUCACUUUUCAGCUUCUGUGCGCGUUUCUCUUGCAACACUGAGCAUGCCACCGCGCGAUGUACAUAUUUAACCCUGUUGCGUUCUUAGAAUUGGGUUUAGCCGGUCGUUUGUGCCAUUACUGGACUGCCUCCAGAGACAUUUUUUUCUAUCUAUACAUUCCAGCUGGAUGCCUUGACUCAAGCACUCUGUCACAGACUGGGAGACAGUCGUCACAGGGGGGGGGGCUUGCAGUGCUCAUGAGGUUGUCUCCGUUACUUUCUUGACUGGAAACAGAUACACUGUUUGGACAAGAGGAUCGCAUGGAGGCAGCAGGCGACCCGACUUUGAGGGGUAACCCCUUAUUUUUUUUUAUGAGCUCUGUCUGGUGGCACGACGUUGGCUGUGUUUUUGAGACAAUCCAUACAUAUUUUUCACAACAGAUCUACUCUCAGGCCCUUUUUAUGAAGGGACAUAUCCUCACGUGUCUUUUCUAGCUCGUAUGCUUUUCAAUGGCACAGUUUCUCGGCCUGCAGUCUCUUUUCUCAGUCCCCACUUAUUAGUCCUUGCAUUAUGUACACACACACACGAAGAACUUUUGACACUUUGACGAAUUUAACGCGUCGGCGUUACGUUUUUGGUCCGCACACUAAAAACAAUGAACUGGCUGCCCAAAUAAAGACCGCUUCGGACAGGGUUAAAUAGCAUUAAGUGUUUGCACUUUUCAUUGAAGUUUCUUUUUGUUUCCCCCUCCCCGUAUAAACUUGAAUGUUUUAGUUUUUUGUUUAGUUUUUUUACUUCAUGUCUGUCUCCGCCAAUUGACUGAACACAUUAUUAAACAUUCCAGUAGAGGUUCAGAAUAAUAAUGAAGCACGACUAAGGGAAGUUUGGAUUGUUUCUAUGUUGGUUUGUGCAAAAAAACGUGUGAAGUGACAUGCCACCUCUUAUUGGAAAAACAUGCUUCUGUGCUUUAGCUAGAUAUUCCCGGUCACUGUUACCUGAGUCUGAUAUUUCAAGUGUUCGCUUCACCCUGGGUUCUCAUGAUGAAAUAAUCGAGAGAUUCAAUGUUCUGUGUCUCAUAGUGGGUUUCUUGUAUGCUUUGUGAAAGUGAUGGUGGGGUAAAUGCUGUAAAAUUAGUAUUUUGACAAGGUGAUCGUGGAACACAUGUAUAUAUUUUUUUGCGAUUGGUUUUGCACUGUUACAUUAAUAUGCACUAAAAAAAAAAAAGGAAACAUACCUCAUUUUCUAUUGAACAUUAAUUGUGCAAGAGUGCUAUUGCUUUUUUUUUUUGUGGGGUAAAUUAAAAAAAAAAGAAAAGAAAAACAAGAUGUACAAAAGAAACUGUGGCCAAAUAAUUUCUAACGUUGGUUGCAGUUGGUCUUUAAGCCAGCUGAGUAAUAAUUGUAAAGGUUUGAAAAGGGCUGUUUUGGCUUCAGAAGAAAAAAAAAAAAAACAAGUUUGUCAAAAAGGUAGCACCGACUCAAUACAACUUGCUGCAAUUUAAUAUACUACUCAGGUUAGUGGUCCAUCUGUCUUAUGGCUACCGAUAAACAUGACUGAGUAGCAACACACAGCUUCUAGAUAGCGAGUUUUGUAUCAUGAGGAAGGAGAAAAGAUGUUGAGGGUAGAAACCUAGAGAUCGAUUCUAAUUGCUAAAACAAAACGGCUAAAGUGCAGGGAUCGUUUUCGCGAGGAAAGAAGUGAGCACAACCCAGCUGAAAGUUGCCUGAGAGUGAUGACGAUGUUACAUUUAUAUUCAAUUACAUUUGAUCAAGUACAAUUUUAUCCAGCAAGGAGGAAUCAGGAGAGAUGUUGUCUGAGAGCAGUGGUUUGCAGAGCUUAAAAAAAAUAAAAAGAAAGAUAAACACUCUACAACAGCAGCAAACAACCACUAGUGAUCACGCAUGUAAUUGGAAACACUAAUGUUCUGCCUGCAUUCACAUAGUUAUUUCUGCUCCAGUUCUGACCAGCAUUGUUACUCUGACAGCACGGAUCAGCAGGUUCGUCCUGGUUGUCCCCAGUUUCCCUCUCCUCCACGUUACUCAAGUCUGUUUUACCCAUAAGAGUUUAGCUGCACUCAUGUAGCUGUCAAAACUUUAUUCCCAGGACACAGUCUGUCACAAAUCUGAAACUCUAAAGCUCUGUCUGCAUUAAGUUUUCCCAUAUGUUGCUCGGCCCUAAAAAAGUCACUUCAAGCUAAUUCUAAAAGUGUCUCGCAUGGAUAGGAAGUUAUAAUACUGGUAUACAGACCGGCCGCAGCUACGUUUAAACACUCUCCUCCGUUUAGCUCAGAUGCAGAGAUUUGGCCGAUCGAAGCUAAUUAGCUAAGCAUGCUCAUAAUGUUCUCAGAGAAGUGUGAGAAGCUCAAACUAGAGUACGGGAGGGGAGAGGUUUGCCUUUUCGAAGGAGCGCGUGACGUUUGAGACGUUGACGCAACGUCACACUCCCAGAUUAAACUUUGUGAAGCAUGUGGGGAAAGAAAUAUGAGGCACGAGGACAUUUUCAUUAUUUGCCACUCAUCGCCAUUGAUUCCAGUGUUUGGUCUGUUAUGCUAUGAGCGUCACGCAAACAAGCAAAAUUAUUAUUGUUUUUUUUGUUUUUUUUUGACAAUAUGGGGAGGUUACUCGUUUUCAUUGAUCGUUAAUUACUUAAAUGACCAAAUAAUGUAUGUAGCCUUUCACAUGACAGUCACAUAUUGUAUAUGGUGAUGUGUGUAUAUAUAAAUAUGAACAUAUAUAUAUAUACAUAUAUGUGUAUAUAUAUAUAUAUAUAUAACAAAAUGCCUUAUAGACGAGGGACAUUCAACCUGAUUAGAAGUUACCUGGAUAAUAAAAAAACUAAUAAGAUCAGUACCUGUUUUGUUGUCGUUAUGUCCAAGACAACCUAAACUUUCCUUUGAAAAUGGAAAAUAAUCCUUUCUUAUUUUACAGGGCGAACAAAUCAAGACAAAUGUUAGUGGCUCUGUUUUCUACGCAGAUCAUCGUACAACAGUAACCUGACGGAUCUUUAAGCUGCUAACCUGAAUGUCCUUGAACUGUUUCUAACAGGUGAUGGUGUGAAUGUCACCGUCAGACCCCACGGAUGACUUACAUGACAAUCUGUGGAAAGAUGGAGAGAAGGAGAAGACACGAACCCAGGACAUCAGCCUCUACAUGCGGGGCCCCCUCUUCUUUUGAGCCACUUGUUUCCCCCCCAGAAAGAUUUUUAAUACAGAAAUCUUAUUGCCAUGUUGGGAUCUGCACAAUCAUGGGGAAGACUAGUGACACGCCAGCAUCCAUAUAGAUGGUAAACCACAUAAGCUCACCGCUAAAUGACGCGGGCGUUGGGAAUCCAGUCGUAUUGAUAAAAAAAUUAAGUGGAAGGAAAACAUGCUAUAGAAAAAAAGUGUAAAAGCAGCUUUAAAGUGACUGUGAAGCAAUGACCAUUUAUUGGUUUGGAGAUUUGCAAGGUGCAGCCUACAUC